UACGUAGGGAGCAAGCGUUGUCCGGAAUCAUUGGGCGUAAAGAGCGCGUAGGCGGCCGUGUAAGUCCGUUCUGAAAGUCGGAGGCUCAAUCUCCGAAAGCGGAUGGAUACUGCACGGCUAGAGUCCGGAAGAGGCGAGUGGAAUUCCUGGUGUAGCGGUGGAAUGCGCAGAUAUCAGGAGGAACACCAACGGCGAAGGCAGCUCGCUGGGACGGUACUGACGAUGAGGCGCGAAAGCGUGGGGAGCAAACAGG
rnacentral:rRNA from 1 species